CCCUCAGGUUCUGUGUCAAAGUCCUCAUGUGGCCCUUGAGGUUUAAAAAGUUCUUGUAGCUGAUGUAUACUCUUCAAAAAGAUUAUUUAGCAAAUAAACUAUUGGUUGUUGUAUCCAUUCUUCAGUAAACAUUGAUCUUCCUGAAAUAAGUAUGGAAGUGGCUGAAAUGUUAUUGCUUUUUGUGAGCACUUCUAAGAGUUACAAAUAAAAUACAUUCAGUUUAA